rnacentral:rRNA from 1 species
CAGAGGAUGCAAGCGUUAUCCGGAAUUAUUGGGCGUAAAGUGUCUGUAGGUGGCUUUUCAAGUCCGUCGUCAAAUCCCAGGGCUCAACCCUGGACAGGCGGUGGAAACUAUCAAGCUAGAGUACGGUAGAGGCAGAGGGAAUUUCCGGUGGAGCGGUGAAAUGCGUUGAGAUCGGGAGGAACACCAAGGGCGAAAGCACUCUGCUGGGCCGUUACUGACACUCAGAGACGAAAAGCUAGGGGAGCAAAUGGGAUU